UAGGGAAUCUUCCGCAAUGGACGCAAGUCUGACGGAGCAACGCCGCGUGAGUGAAGAAGGAUUUCGGUUCGUAAAACUCUGUUGUUAGAGAAGAACAGCGCAUAGAGUAACUGUUAUGCGUGUGACGGUAUCUAACCAGAAAGCCUCGGCUAACUACGUGCCAGCAGCCGCGGUAAUACGUAGGUGGCAAGCGUUGUCCGGAUUUAUUGGGCGUAAAGCGAGCGCAGGCGGUCAAUUAAGUCUGAUGUGAAAGCCCCCGGCUCAACCGGGGAGGGUCAUUGGAAACUGGUUGACUUGAGUGCAGAAGAGGAGAGUGGAAUUCCAUGUGUAGCGGUGAAAUGCGUAGAUAUAUGGAGGAACACCAGUGGCGAAGGCGACUCUCUGGUCUGUAACUGACGCUGAGGCUCGAAAGCGUGGGUAGCAAACAGG
rnacentral:rRNA from 1 species